AAUAGAUACCCGGGUAGUCCACACCGUAAACGUUGGGCGCUAGGUGUGGGAUCCAUUCCACGGGUUCCGUGCCGUAGCUAACGCAUUAAGCGCCCCGCCUGGGGAGUACGGCCGCAAGGCUAAAACUCAAAGGAAUUGACGGGGGCCCGCACAAGCGGCGGAGCAUGCGGAUUAAUUCGAUGCAACGCGAAGAACCUUACCUGGGUUUGACAUACACUAGAAAGCUGCAGAGAUGUAGCCUCCCUUGUGGCUGGUGUACAGGUGGUGCAUGGCUGUCGUCAGCUCGUGCCGUGAGAUGUUGGGUUAAGUCCCGCAACGAGCGCAACCCUCGUCCUAUGUUGCCAGCGGGUUAUGCCGGGGACUCAUAGGAGACUGCCGGGGUCAACUCGGAGGAAGGUGGGGAUGACGUCAAGUCAUCAUGCCCCUUAUGUCCAGGGCUUCACGCAUGCUACAAUGGCCGGUACAAAGGGCUGCGAUCCCGUGAGGGGGAGCGAAUCCCAAAAAGCCGGUCUCAGUUCGGAUUGGGGUCUGCAACUCCG
rnacentral:rRNA from 1 species